AGGAGGAAAGCGCAACAGAAAGCAGACCGCCUCCCGCGCUCGCGCGAGGGGUAAGGGUGAAACGGUGAGGUAAGAGCUCACCGGUCCCGGUGGCGACAUCGGGAGCCAGGCAAACCCCACUCGGAGCAAGACCGAAUAGGAGAGCGUUUGAGGGCUGCCCGUCCGAUGCUCUCGGGUUGGUCGCNNNNNNNNNNGGAGCAAGACCGAAUAGGAGAGCGUUUGAGGGCUGCCCGUCCGAUGCUCUCGGGUUGGUCGCUUGAUCCCGCCGGCAACGGUGGGGCUAGAGGAAUGAUCAUGUCCUGUUUGCCUUCGGGCGUUCAGGGAACAGAACCCGGCUUAUGCCCUGCUCCGGGGU
rnacentral:misc_RNA from 1 species